UUAGGAGGUACGGCUUCGAGGGGGACCGGAGGAGAAGUGUGCUCCUGCACCAGUUGUGGUCGACGAGGGCACACGUCCGACCGGUGCUGGAGGAACUCGUCUAGGAGUCGGGAGGAUAGGCGGAACACUGCUCGAUCACCCCAGGCCGGUGGUGGCUGGUCCCCUGCAAGAAGGUGAGGUGCCUGAGGUCCCUCCGCCCCCUCUGGACAUCGAGGGGUCCCCGGCGUACACAGUUCGAGUCAUUCUGGAUUCGAGACGCCGGGUGGGGGCCUACAGUACCUCGUGGACUGGGAGGGGUACGGCCCGGAGGACCCUUCUCUCCUGAUAGAAUUCCACCGCCUCCACCCGGAUCGCCCAGCACCUCGUCCUCCGGAUCGUCCUCGAGGACGGUGGCGGCGCGCUGCAGGAGCCGCGCGUCAGGGGGGGGUACUGUCACGACUUCCGCCGAGGUUGGCUCUCCUGCCCGUUCAGGCGGUGCUCGGCGGUCGUCGUCACCGUCCUACUAGCCACUACCGAUCCCUUUUCGUGUAUCUGUUGGUUUUGUCUGAUUGGUUUCACCUGUGUGUUGUUUAGUUUAUUAGUGUCUGUAUAUAUAGUAGGUUGUCCCGCCCUUGUUUUGUGCGGGAUUGUUUAUUUGUCAUCUAUGUCUGUCGGUGUAUCUUGUGUUCUUAUUCUCCGGUUCGUCUUUUAUCCUGUGUUGGAUUGUUCACCCUGUGUUAUUGGGUUGACCGUGUUUCUUGUUCACCGGAGAAUAAACUUUCAUAUCGCUA